CUGACCCACGACAAGUGGGGGCAGCCGACCACGGUAAGGUCAGCGACUGGGGCG
rnacentral:rRNA from 1 species